rnacentral:rRNA from 1 species
UACGGAGGAUGCGAGCGUUAUCCGGAUUUAUUGGGCGUAAAGGGCUCGUAGGCGGUUCGUCGCGUCCGGUGUGAAAGUCCAUCGCUUAACGGUGGAUCCGCGCCGGGUACGGGCGGGCUUGAGUGCGGUAGGGGAGACUGGAAUUCCCGGUGUAACGGUGGAAUGUGUAGAUAUCGGGAAGAACACCAAUGGCGAAGGCAGCAUACCGGCGCCCGACUGACGCUGAAGCACGAAAGCGUGGGUAUCGAACAGG